rnacentral:rRNA from 1 species
AUUGAACGCUGGCGGCAGGCCUAACACAUGCAAGUCGAGCGGAUGAAGGGAGCUUGCUCCUGGAUUCAGCGGCGGACGGGUGAGUAAUGCCUAGGAAUCUGCCAGGUAGUGGGGGAUAACGUCCGGAAACGGGCGCUAAUACCGCAUACGUCCUGAGGGAGAGAGUGGGGGAUCUUCGGACCUCACGCUAUCAGAUGAGCCUAGGUCGGAUUAGCUAGUUGGUGGGGUAAAGGCCUACCAAGGCGACGAUCCGUAACUGGUCUGAGAGGAUGAUCAGUCACACUGGAACUGAGACACGGUCCAGACUCCUACGGGAGGCAGCAGUGGGGAAUAUUGGACAAUGGGCGAAAGCCUGAUCCAGCCAUGCCGCGUGUGUGAAGAAGGUCUUCGGAUUGUAAAGCACUUUAAGUUGGGAGGAAGGGCAGUAAGUUAAUACCUUGCUGUUUUGACGUUACCAACAGAAUAAGCACCGGCUAACUUCGUG